GACGAACGCUGGCGGCGUGCUUAACACAUGCAAGUCGAGCGGAGCGGCGGACGGGUGAGUAAUGCCUAGGAAUCUGCCUGGUAGUGUGGGAUAACUUCCGGAAACGGGCUCUAAUACCGCAUACCACCACAUGAGCCUAGGUCGGAUUAGCUAGUUGGUGGGGUAAAGGCCUACCAAGGCGACGAUCCGUAACUGGUCUGUGAGGAUGAUCAGUCACACUGGAACUGAAACACGGUCCAGACUCCUACGGGAGGCAUGAGUGGGGAAUAGUGGAAAAUGGGCGAAAGCCUGAUCAAGCCAUGCAGCGUGUGUGAAGAAGGUCUUCGGAUUGUAGAGAACAUUAAGUUGGGAGGCGUUACCAACAGAAUAGGCACCGGCUAACUUCGUGCCAGCAGCCGCGGUAAUUC
rnacentral:rRNA from 1 species